UGAACCUUCGGGGRACGAUAACGGCGUCGAGCGGCGGACGGGUGAGUAAUGCCUAGGAAAUUGCCCUGAUGUGGGGGAUAACCAUUGGAAACGAUGGCUAAUACCGCAUGAUGCCUACGGGCCAAAGAGGGGGACCUUCGGGCCUCUCGCGUCAGGAUAUGCCUAGGUGGGAUUAGCUAGUUGGUGAGGUAAGGGCUCACCAAGGCGACGAUCCCUAGCUGGUCUGAGAGGAUGAUCAGCCACACUGGAACUGAGACACGGUCCAGACUCCUACGGGAGGCAGCAGUGGGGAAUAUUGCACAAUGGGCGCAAGCCUGAUGCAGCCAUGCCGCGUGURUGAAGAAGGCCUUCGGGUUGUAAAGYACUUUCAGUCGUGAGGAAGGCRGYGUCGUUAAUAGCKGCRUURUUUGACGUUAGCGACAGAAGAAGCACCGGCUAACUCCGUGCCAGCAGCCGCGGUAAUACKMCGCWMUGCGAGCGUUAAUCGGAAUUACUGGGCGUAAAGCGCAUGCAGGUGGUUUGUUAAGUCAGAUGUGAAAGCCCGGGGCUCAACCUCGGAAUWGCAUUUGAAACUGGCAGACUAGAGUACUGUAGAGGGGGGUAGAAUUUCAGGUGUAGCGGUGAAAUGCGUAGAGAUCUGAAGGAAUACCGGUGGCGAAGGCGGCCCCCUGGACAGAUACUGACACUCAGAUGCGAAAGCGUGGGGAGCAAACAGGAUUAGAUACYCUGGUAGWCCACGCCGUAAACGAUGUCUACUUGGAGGUUGUGGCCUUGAGCCGUGGCUUUCGGAGCUAACGCGUUAAGUAGAC
rnacentral:rRNA from 1 species